rnacentral:rRNA from 1 species
UACGUAGGUGGCAAGCGUUGUCCGGAUUUACUGGGCGUAAAGGGCGUGCAGGCGGUUUGUUAAGUUCAGGGUGAAAGCUCCCGGCUCAACUGGGAGAGGGCCUUGGAUACUGGCAGACUUGAGGAGGGUAGAGGAGAGUGGAAUUCCCGGUGUAGUGGUGAUAUGCGUAGAUAUCGGGAGGACCACCAGUGGCGAAGGCGGCUCUCUGGGCCCUGCCUGACGCUGAGACGCGAAAGCGUGGGGAGCGAACCGG